UCACUUCCCACCACACACACACACACACACACACACACACACACACACACACACACACACACACACACUCAGAUGCAAACUCACAUUAACGCUGCUGCACAAUAAAACUUCUUCAUCUGCACUGUGUUCUGCCUCACAUUGGUGUUAACACUUCAUUUAAGAUCAUUUAAACAACUCACACAAACGUGUACUCCUGUGUGUCUCUCUGUUUCUUCCUCACGCUCUUCUCACACACAAGUCACACGUGCCAGUGUGCAGAUGGAAGCAGACUGCGCAACAGUCACAUACAUGGCACAGAUGCAUCAUUUCGCUGCAUCGUGCCAACUUCCUCAGAGCCAACAUUUUUCUCUCCCUUGUGUGUCUUGAGUGAGCAAUGUUACCGAUGUAGAUUGUUGUAAUAA